rnacentral:rRNA from 1 species
CGCUGGCGGCAGGCCUAACCAUGCAAGUCGAACGGUAACAGGAAGCAGCUUGCUGCUUUGCUGACGAGUGGCGGACGGGUGAGUAAUGUCUGGGAAACUGCCUGAUGGAGGGGGAUAACUACUGGAAACGGUAGCUAAUACCGCAAGACGUCGCAAGACCAAAGAGGGGGACCUUCGGGCCUCUUGCCAUCGGAUGUGCCCAGAUGGGAUUAGCUAGUAGGUGGGGUAACGGCUCACCUAGGCGACGAUCCCUAGCUGGUCUGAGAGGAUGACCAGCCACACUGGAACUGAGACACGGUCCAGACUCCUACGGGAGGCAGCAGUGGGGAAUAUUGCACAAUGGGCGCAAGCCUGAUGCAGCCAUGCCGCGUGUAUGAAGAAGGCCUUCGGGUUGUAAAGUACUUUCAGCGGGGAGG